rnacentral:tmRNA from 1 species
GGGGGCGACCGGUUUCGACGUGCCAGUUGAAGCACCGGUUGCGCGCCGAGGACCCCGGUUGGCCUCGUUAAACUUCCGGGAAAAAACACAAAAGCCAACGAACAAUUGGCCCUCGCGGCUUAGUACCGCGACGUUCGGCCGUCUCCGCCUGCGGGACGAAUCCGGAUGUCAUUCAGCAGGCUAGCGACCAAGGCCGGGCUACCGGGCCGAGGAGCGAGAACCAACAGGUGGAUUGCGGUGCCGCUGGCCUGUCCGUGGGCAGGCGGCAUGGCGAAACUUAAUUGCGGACUACGCGCGUAGAUGCCGAUGCGACGCUUGUGCGGACGCGGGUUCGACUCCCGC